UACGGGGGGGUAAGCGUUGUUCGGAAUUACUGGGCGUAAAGGGCUCGUAGGCGGCCAACUAAGUCAGACGUGAAAUCCCUCAGCUUAACUGGGGAACUGCGUCUGGAUACUGGAUGGCUUGGAUUCGGGAGAGGAAUGCGGAAUUCCAGGUGUAGCGGUGAAAUGCGUAGAUAUCUGGAGGAAUACCGGUGGCGAAGGCGGCAUCCUGGACCGACAUUGACGCUGAGGAGCGAAAGCCAGGGGAGCAAACGGG
rnacentral:rRNA from 1 species